GAAGGUGCCCGUACCGCAAACCGACACAGGUAGGCGAGCAGAGUAUGCUAAGGCGCUCGGAAGAACUCUCGUUAAGGAACUCGGCAAAAUGACCCCGUAACUUCGGGAGAAGGGGUGCCUCGGUAGGGUGAAUAGCCCGAGGGGGCCGCAGUGAAAAGGCCCAAGCGACUGUUUAGCAAAAACACAGGUCUGUGCGAAGCCGUAAGGCGAAGUAUACGGGCUGACGCCUGCCCGGUGCUGGAAGGUUAAGGGGAGUGGUUAGCCGCAAGGCGAAGCUAUGAACCGAAGCCCCAGUAAACGGCGGCCGUAACUAUAACGGUCCUAAGGUAGCGAAAUUCCUUGUCAGGUAAAUUCUGACCCGCACGAAUGGCGUAACGACUUGGGCGCUGUCUCAACGAGAGAUCCGGUGAAAUUUUAAUACCUGUGAAGAUGCAGGUUACCCGCGACAAGACGGAAAGACCCCAUGGAGCUUUACUGCAGCUUGAUAUUGGACUUUGGUACGAUCUGUACAGGAUAGGUGGGAGCCUGAGAA
rnacentral:rRNA from 1 species